UCAUAAAAUGUUUGUUUAUUUACUUAUUUAUGCAAACUAACAUUCCUUUCUCCUUCUCUUCUCAAGCAUUUUCCUACUUCCCUUAAGAACUUACCUCUCCCACCUUGUAAACAAGCUUGGUCAAAAGACCCUUGACUCUUCUUGGCUGGUGACCAAGAUGGACUAAUGACACUUUUCCCAGACUUCACGUAGGUAAAAGGACAAGCAGGGAAGUGGAUUCAUCCCAGUCGCGGUGCCCAGGCCAAACUGCCCACUCGGGUCUUGCCACCCAGAAAACGUUGGAAGAACAGGGAUGAAGGCUAUCUGAAGAAACCUGUCUAGGAGGAGUGUAUUAGUUGCCUCCGGCUGCCGUGACAAAGGACCCCAAGCAGAAUGGCUUAUGAGACAGAAAUUUAUUGUCUCGUAGUUCUGGAGGCCAUCCGUCUUGAAAUCAAGAAACAGCUCCGGAGCAAGGAGGUCAAAGAAAGAACUCAUUAUCCCGACAACUGACUUUCAACCACACCUGAGCUUAUGUUAAUGAGGACUGAAGGCUCAUCUCUGUUGGGGACUUCAUCAAGUUCCCAGAAACAAGCAGAUAGAUACAUCUGAACAGAGGGGAAAAUGAAGUGACCAGGAGUAAGACAACUCUUGAAAG
rnacentral:lncRNA from 1 species